GCAAACUUGGUCAUUUAGAGGAAGUAAAAGUCGUAACAAGGUUUCCGUAGGUGAACCUGCGGAAGGAUCAUUAUCGCAUCUCUGGCGGGAGCUCCCCUGCCCUGCUCCGGCCCGCGUCGGCCGUGCAGCGGGUGGGCGGGCGCCCGUCCAACCUUCACAAACCCACCGUGCACAUUUGCGGGCGGAAGGGCGUCCCUGCGGCGCUCGGAAGCCGGCUUUCUACAAACUCGUAAACCAAACGAAUGUUCAGCGGCCUCUGCGUCGCCUAAAACUUGUAACAACUUUCAACAACGGAUCUCUUGGCUCUCGCAUCGAUGAAGAACGCAGC
rnacentral:misc_RNA from 1 species